rnacentral:misc_RNA from 1 species
UAUUUAUUUAUUUAUUUUUUGGUCCGCUCAGAAACUUUUGGGGGGUUGGGGUGGGGUGGGUUGGGGGUGUGGAGUGAUGCUGCCAAAGAACUAUUCUCCUUGUCCAUAAGGAAGUUGUUAGUUACAGGAUUCAAUCUCAAGAGUUCAACACUCCCAAGAACUUCAGCUUAAGAUAAUGAACCAUUUGGCCAGUACGGCAAUUGAGAUGAAGUCCUUGCACAUGAAAUGGUUUUCCGCAUACUUAUGGAAGUAAUAGAACAAUAUGAUCAGACCAAAAAGUAAAAUAACUCAUGUAUAGCUGACCUGUUAUUAUUCCUCUGUCUAA